GGCAAACCGACUCUGAUUGGCUGGGAGGGGGGGACACGUGAUCGAGCUAAUUUACAUCCGGCAGACAGGUGAAGGAGAAACCAGUAUCGCUUCCACACCUGGCUAAUGGACAAUGAGUCCUGUCGGUCUUGCGGACCUUCUCGCUGUAAACCGGGAGUCUCCACUGCGGCUGCGGUCUCACCUGGACUCCCUCGCUAAGCCCGCAGGUGCUCCACUGGUACACCGUCUACUUGGUCCAGAUGUAAGAUUAAAGGCAGCACAGGCCUCAUAAACACUUCGUAUUCUCCAUUAAGGUGUUGCGCGACGCAGUUGUCGAUC